rnacentral:rRNA from 1 species
CUACGGGGUGCAGCAGUGGGGAAUAUUGCGCAAUGGGGGAAACCCUGACGCAGUGACGCCGUGUGAGUGAUGAAGGUUUUCGGAUCGUAAAGCUCUGUCAGACGGGAAGAAUAAGAACAGUAAAAAUAUUGCUGUUUGAUGACGGUACCGUCAGAGGAAGCACCGGCUAACUCCGUGCCAGCAGCCGCGGUAAUACGGAGGGUGCAAACGUUGUUCGGAAGUACUGGGCGUAAAGCGCAUGUAGGCGGAUAUGUAGGUCAGAUGUGAAAUCCCUUGGCUCAACCAAGGAAGUGCAUCUGAAACCCCAUAUCUUGAGUACGAGAGAGGGAAGUGGAAUUCCCAGUGUAGAGGUGAAAUUCAUAGAUAUUGGGAAGAACACCGGUGGCGAAGGCGGCUUUCUGGCUCGUAACUGACGCUGAGAUGCGAAAGCGUGGGGAGCAAACAGGAUUAGAUACCCUCGUAGUC